GAUGAACGCUGGCGGCGUGCCUAAUACAUGCAAGUCGAGCGAACGGACGAGAAGCUUGCUUCUCUGAUGUUAGCGGCGGACGGGUGAGUAACACGUGGAUAACCUACCUAUAAGACUGGGAUAACUUCGGGAAACCGGAGCUAAUACCGGAUAAUAUUUUGAACCGCAUGGUUCAAAAGUGAAAGACGGUCUUGCUGUCACUUAUAGAUGGAUCCGCGCUGCAUUAGCUAGUUGGUAAGGUAACGGCUUACCAAGGCAACGAUGCAUAGCCGACCUGAGAGGGUGAUCGGCCACACUGGAACUGAGACACGGUCCAGACUCCUACGGGAGGCAGCAGUAGGGAAUCUUCCGCAAUGGGCGAAAGCCUGACGGAGCAACGCCGCGUGAGUGAUGAAGGUCUUCGGAUCGUAAAGCUCUAUUAUUAGGGAAGAACAUAUGUGUAAGUAACUGUGCACAUCUUGACGGUACCUAAUCAGAAAGCCACGGCUAACUACGUG
rnacentral:rRNA from 1 species